GCUGAACCAGGAAAAGUGGCCACUGAGAGUCUCCACCCUAGACACAGCUGUGGGCUGAGCUGGGUUCCGGGCCUCCCACGGAGCACCACACUGGGGACAAGCAGGGGUCUGAACAGAGCAGAAGAAGAUUCCUGGCGGUAGAACUUUUCGCAGGGAGCUGAAAUGAAGCUGUUGCUGGAGUAGCAACAAAACCCCCAGCUCACAUGGAACAGUUUGCGCUUCACAACACCCUGGGAAGUAUCACAACCCUUUCACAGAUAACUGAGAUGAGAUCCUUAACCCUUUUCAUGGGUCUUGGCUACAAUCACCUGCGGCUGUUGUCUUCAUUUACUUCCUGGACCUGGGGCUUUGGGAUUUGGAAUCCUCCUCUAGAUAGUCUUUCUUGGUACAUUUCACUUUGUUCUGAUUAUCUACUGCUGCAUAAUAAACCACUGCAAACUUGGCAAC
rnacentral:lncRNA from 1 species